AAGUAUGAGUAAUUUCACAAAUUGUGAAUUUAGGAAGUGUUGGAAAUUAAUUGAAUGAUGUUUAGAAUGAUGAAAUAAAAGUUAAAUUGUGGAUUAGAAUGGCUUUGUAAUACUGAAAAUAUUGUAGUUCGUUGAAAUCUGAGAAUGAGACUUUUUACGGAAUCGAAAUCGGAGGUCCGGAAGGUAUUUAACGGUCAAAAACGCAUUUUCUAUGUUUCCUGCUAAAUUCGCG
rnacentral:lncRNA from 1 species